GCUGAGAGGACGUACGAAAAUCGGGCUUCGCGAAUUUCAAGUGCCGGUUCCUCUAACUCUUGGGUACUGCGUACCAGGUUCUCUACCUGGUGAAUUUCGACUUCCAGGACUCGCGCUCCGACUUCCUGGGCUCCAGGUCGUCCACCCGGCAUUACCUGCAAAACUAUCCUGAUCAUCACCGUCACCAUCACCGUGCGAACUUCCGUGACCACCAAAGUGACUACUUAAGUGACUACUGAGAUGACCACCAAGUGAGCCAUGAUGACCACCCCACAACCCGUGACCACUAAAUAAGCCGUGAUUCCCAACCAGGAGGUCGGUAAAGGCAUUCAGACCAAGUGGAUCUUUAUGUUGUAACCUCUGUUCUUGACGGUGAGCAUGGAUCCGAUCCCGUUUCUCCUUGCGACGUUUUUGAAUAUCGGCAGAGGCAUCCGCUGGUCGUCGCUGGGACAGUGUGUUCCGGUUCUUUAUGAGGUUACUUAUGGCCUCCAAUGUUGCAACUGGUAUCUAGGUGCGGAAAAUAGGCUAUAUCUGAACGAUUGUGACUUGGGGUACGAAAAAAAGUCUGGUGAAGAAAAUAGAGCAUUCCAGGUGUAUGCAUGCAGAAAACGUUGUUCUUCCGCAAGUUUUACGAGUACUACAUCCAGAGAAUCCUCUGACUGAGACGCGGCGUGUGCAAAUAAAACUGUUUUGUCAGCGCAGAAAGGCGUGGGCAACAUUUGCCGAGUUCAACUCUCUAUUACGAAACCGAACACUGGACGACUCAGGGACCUGUUCUGCUAAUAUUUUUGCAGAGAUGAUGUCGCUCACGCCUGGCGUUGCACCGCUUGCCAGUCUUUUAUGGGUGAAACAAUGCGUGGUUGGAAAAUUACGAAUUUUUCUGUACGAUAGGCAUGCCUAUCAGCGAAGAUCUCAGGGAUGUUUUUGCCCGAAACGAGUCGGUCGGAAAAAACGCUGGCUGAUUUCUUGCACAAUUUAAAACAGGUAUGCUUGUAAUGUUGCUAAACGAAAUAAAUUCGUCGAAUAAAUUGAGACGUUUCCUUUUUUCGACACAGCAAUAUUACGUUUAGUCAAACUUUUCGGAACUGCAAAACUCGUCAUUUAUUCGGUGGAUAAAGAUUAGUCAGAAUUUACGAAAUCAUGAGAGUUACGAGUUUAUUACCGUUGCCAAAUGAUAUGUCGAUACAAUAAUAACAAUGAGAUGUUUGCUCGUUGAAGAAUGAAAAUUAAUUCCGAAUUACACAUUUCUGAUUAUGAAAAUGAAGAACAGAUUCUUUAUUCAAUGUUUCGAAUUAUGCAACAAAUUC
rnacentral:lncRNA from 1 species